AGAGUUUGAUCCUGGCUCAGGAUGAACGCUAGCGGCAGGCUUAACACAUGCAAGUCGAGGGGUAACAGGGUAGCAAUACUGCUGACGACCGGCGCACGGGGNNNNNNNNNNNNNNNNNNNNNNNNNNNNNNNNNNNNNNNNNNNNNNNNNNNNNNNNNNNNNNNNNNNNAUAAUAAGAUCUGGCAUCUUUUCUUAUUUAAAGUUUAUUUGAUUAUAGAUGGGCAUGCGUGACAUUAGAUAGUUGGUGAGGUAACGGCUCACCAAGUCAGCGAUGUCUAGGGGUUCUUAAAGGAUGACCCCCCACACUGGUACUGAGAUACGGACCAGACUCCUACGGGAGGCAGCAGUAAGGAAUAUUGGUCAAUGGCCGAGAGGCUGAACCAGCCAUCCCGCGUGCAGGAAGACAGCCCUAUGGGUUGUAAACUUCUUUUGUACGGGAAUAACCCUCCGAACGUGUUCGGAGCUGACGGUACCGUCAGAGGAAGCACCGGCUAACUACGUGCCAGCAGCCGCGGUAAUACGGAGGUGGCGAGCGUUAUUCGGAUUUAUUGGGUUUAAAGCGCGCGUAGGCGGUUUGAUAAGUCAGUGGUGAAAGCCUGCAGCUUAACUGCAGAACUGCCAUUGAUACUGCCAGUCUGGAGUAUGGUUGAGGUAGCUGGAAUGUGUCACGUAGCGGUGAAAUGCUUAGAGAUGACACAGAACACCAGCUGCGAAGGCAGGUUACCAACCCAUUACUGACGCUGAGGCACGAAAGCGUGGGGAUCAAACAGGAUUAGAUACCCUGGUAGUCCACGCCGUAAACUAUGAUUACUAGUUGUUGGCGAUACAUUGCCAGUGACUGAGCGAAAGCAUUAAGUAAUCCACCUGGGGAGUACGUUCGCAAGAAUGAAACUCAAAGGAAUUGACGGGGGCCCGCACAAGCGGAGGAGCAUGUGGUUUAAUUCGAUGAUACGCGAGGAACCUUACCUGGGCUCGAACGUAUAGGGAAUUAUGCCGAAAGGUAUAAGCCAGCAAUGGCCGUAUACGAGGUGCUGCAUGGUUGUCGUCAGCUCGUGCCGUGAGGUGUCGGGUUAAGUGCCAUAACGAGCGCAACCCUUACCCUUAGUUGCCAGCAUGUAAUGAUGGGGACUCUAAAGGAACUGCCUACGCAAGUAGUGAGGAAGGUGGGGAUGACGUCAAAUCAGCACGGCCCUUAUGUCCAGGGCGACACACGUGCUACAAUGGCCGAUACAAAGGGCAGCUACCAGGUGACUGGAUGCGAAUCUUUAAAAUCGGUCUCAGUUCGGAUCGGAGUCUGCAACUCGACUCCGUGAAGUCGGAUUCGCUAGUAAUCGCGCAUCAGCCAUGGCGCGGUGAAUACGUUCCCGGGCCUUGUACGCACCGCCCGUCAAGCCAUGGAAGUUGGGGGUGCCUGAAGUUCGUGACCGCAAGGAGCGACCUAAGGUAAAACUGGUAACUGGGGCUAAGUCGUAACAAGGUAACC
rnacentral:rRNA from 1 species